rnacentral:rRNA from 1 species
AUUGUUUGUGAACACCCCCCAAGCACGUGCCAGAAGGGUCGGUAAAACGUGCGGUGUCAGUAUAAAGCGUCUUGACUAGGCAGGCAGCGCGUCUGAGCGUUAAUGGUGAACACUUUAAACGUUGGGUAAUAUUCGGAGGAUCGGUCAAAUGAGAAUAUUCCGGAUGGAAAGCCGAAGGCGAAAGCACCAACAUCAGAGUCACUAAAGCUUCAACGCGUAAGUUUGGGUAGCGAACCGGAUUAGAGACCCGCAGUAGUCCAAACCGUCAACACAUUAUAGUUUUCAAAUCUAUAACGCCUGGUGAUACGGUGGCAACACUAUAAAUCAAAGCAAUUGGCAGCGAUAGAGAUGCGCGGUGGAAUAUGCUGUUUAAAUCGAAUUUACACGCAAACUCUUACCACUUUUUAUUA